CCUGUGGAAACUCCCCAGGAUGUUUGGAAAGGAACAGUUUUAAGAGAAAGGGAAAAACAAGACAAAAGGUUGUUAGAGGCCAGUUACUAUGCCAGGGACAGGUCGAGAUUAAGGAUUUCAGUGUCCUUUCAGUGGACUAGGCAGAGCCAGGGGAUCAGAAUGAGACUGGGGUGGAGAGAUAGCAAAGAGUGGGGACUUCAGGUGGCAAUGGGACACAAGCAGAGGACCUUUUUCUGAUGGAAGGCUGAAGUUGGAUGUGUUCACCAUAGAUGAAGACAGGAUUGUGAGUCAAACAAAAAUUGAGAAUCCAGGCCGAGGAUUUAGCUCAGUGGUUCCACCGCCUCCCUGGCAAGCACAAGGACCCAAAUUCGAUCCCCAGUACUAAAAGAAAAAAGAGAAUCCAGGGGCAGCCCACCUUCCUGGUCCCCCUUCUCUCUUAGGCAGAAGCUUUCUUUCUCUCAAUAAAUUUUUCCUACUCUUAACGUCCAUUCUUCCUAGAAUUCAUUCUUUGAUUUUAGAGGACAUGAACUCGUGUUUUGGAUAUCUAGUAGGCUUAGGAGUUACAUCUCUCCCCCCAUAUCAUUUUGGAGGUCUUCCAAUGAGAUUACUGAUCGGAGAUGGCAUUGUACUAAAGGAUAACAAAUAAGAGUUUUCUUUAUGUCAUUUAAUGUCUUGUGAUCAGAUGGAGGUGUUUGACUGAAAAACUACUCCAUACUAAGAUGGACAUGGAUUCAACUACUAAAGCAAUCAUGAUUGAUAAGAAAUAACAGCCCACAACUGUGCUUUAUACUUCAAAAGUGCUUGAUGUUUUAACUAUUAUAAUAGAUAAGCUCCCUGCUCCGACUGAAAUACUUACGUCACUGAUCUUCUCAUCUGGAUGUUCAACAACUAAAGUUUGGAAACUAGAAAGGUAACUGGGCUAUGAAGACAGCCAGUAUUUUGGCCCUGGCCCCUCAAGGUCAACAAAGACCUAGGACACAAAGGAACCUUUCCUACAGGACCCCACAUCUUUGACUCAAAGCUAUAUGGCUACCAAGAUGACAAUGCCUGGCACCGAUUGAAGACCUUUAGAUAGACCCUCUGUAGAGUAACUGACUGCUGAUCACAACUAUGACCCUCUUCAGCUGGAAGUAGCCGGACCCGUCUUUGCCCUUUGGCCCCUCAUAGCAGUUAGGAGUACUUCUUCAGAGAGGAGAAUAUUGCAGAUAAGUAAGUUAAUUAGAUAUCUUGUAGGCAGUUAGACAGGGCCAGCCCAGGAGGAGCCAACAUGGAGGACAGUGAAGACACAGUCACUGAAGGCCAGCAUUGUAAAAGAAGAGAAACUACCACACUCAUGUAGGGUGAAUAGCAGUGACUGAUACUCGAUAUUCUAAAUAGGUAUCAGUCACCUGGGUGGGGGCCCAAGGUCUUAACCCAGCCUUUCCAGGAAAUAUCCCUGACCCACCCUUACUGAAAAUCCUUAUAAGCUUUCUACGUAACUUGUUCCCCCAUUGAACCCCCAUUUAAUAUUAUGUGGGUCAUUUUAUUGGUUGGUCAUGGUUUUGCCCCACCUCAUGCCCACCUUGUAAAUUUCCACUGGGUCUUAUAGUUUUGUCUCACUUUGUACCCACCUCACC
ensembl:lncRNA